rnacentral:rRNA from 1 species
AUGGCGGCCGAGCAGGCAGGCAGGAGGUGCAGCAUCGCCAGCAACCUCCACUCCUCCCCUAUGCUCACCAACCGCACACAGGUCAGUACGACUGUACAAGGUGUCGUGCUGGCGACCGGGUUCGGAGCGCUCAGAUCGAAGGUGGCCGUGCACUGGUGCGAGAACGAGGACGCAUCCAAGGUUGAGUAUAGGGUGUGGAACCCCUUCAGGUCCAAGCUGGCUACUGCUAUGCUCGGUGGUGCUCCUGGACCACGUGUGCUGUACCUCGGAGCUGCCUUUGGAACAACCGUGCCUCAUGUGUCUGACACUGUUGGAACGACUGGGUUGGUGUAUGCCUUUGAGUUCUCUCACCAGAGUGGUAGGGAUCUUGUCAACAUGGCCAAGAAGAGGACCAAUGUCAUCCCCAUCACUGAGGAUGCUAGGCACCCGACAAAGUAA